AUUGAACGCUGGCGGCAGGCCUAACACAUGCAAGUCGAACGAGUGGCGGACGGGUGAGUAAUGUCUGGGAAACUGCCCGAUGGAGGGGGAUAACUACUGGAAACGGUAGCUAAUACCGCAUACCAUCGGAUGUGCCCAGAGGGGAUUAGCUAGUAGGUGGGGUAACGGCUCACCUAGGCGACGAUCCCUAGCUGGUCUGAGAGGAUGACCAGCCACACGGGAGCUGGAACACGGACCAGACUCCUACGGGAGGCAGCAGUGGGGAGAAUUGCACAAUGGGCGCAAGCCUGAUGCAGCCAUGCCGCGUGUAUGAAGAAGGCCUUCGGGUUGUAAAGUACUUUCAGCGAGGAGGCGUUACUCGCGGAAGAAACACCGGCUAACUCCGUGCCAGCAGCCGCGGUAAUAC
rnacentral:rRNA from 1 species